AACUAUAAAUAGGGUUAUAGUUAAAUAUAACAUUUGAGUUGCAUCCAAAAAGUAUUGAUUCAAUCAAUUAACCUU
rnacentral:tRNA from 1 species